CGCCCGCCUUCGGAGGUACGCGCGCUUAUGUCUGCGCAGUGCUGUUUUCCUGCUCUGGGGGAGAAGGGAGAUCGACCGCCUGGAGUAGGCCGGCAUGUAGAGAAAAGGAGAUGGCGCCUGGGACGAGGGACUGCCAUUUCUUCAAUGCUGGUGUCUGAAGAAUGAUUUCAUGGGAGAAAAGCAAAUUUCCAACACGUGCACCAACAACUUCCAUAUGUUUGGGGGCAGUGAAUAAGUAGCAAGUCAUUCUGUUAACCAACUCCAAUCAAGAUUCUAAAAUCAGGCAUGAAAAAGUUACAGUUAGAUGUUGACUAUAAGCAGUAGGUUUAGGGGUGUUACUUUUUGCAAGUUUUCUAUGUGUUUGGACAUUUUAUAAUCAAAAGUUGAAAAAUCGAAAGUAUAAGUUACAAUUAGAAAGUUUAGUUUUACCUUCUUUCCUGGUGAUUAAUAAAAUAUUUCAAAGAGUUUUCAUAAAUAUUUGAAGUAAAUAAUUUGUGAAAGGAAAUUCAAACAGUUGACCUUGAGACUAACUGUAGUAAAGUUAAUUCAGUAAACAUUUUAUUGUGGUUUCUCCAAGUUUUAACAAAUCAGUAAUUGACAGUAACCAAAUCUUAAUACUUCUAUUAAUUACAACUGUAUUAACAUUCAUUUUGCAUACAGUAGUUACUAGAUUUGAAUUACAGUACAAAUCCUGUCCCAUCUUAUUGGAAAAAAUUGAUUACUGAACCAAAAAAGUACAAACCAUUCAAUUUCAGUGGUCACACUGCAAAAAAAGUUCACCCUUCAUUUAAUUUGACCAAAUACGCUACUGUUGAAGACUAUCGAUGACAUAAUCCCAGUAUAUCCGUGAGUAAGAAACGAUAGGAAUUUGAGGUCGAGGAUAUAACUCAAAUGUUCUUUGUCUUUCUUGAGUUCUUCUCUUCCCCAUAUGCAUCCCAAAUGCCAGAUGAGACUAGCAUGGAAAGUUAAAAACCUUUGUACCCAACAAACCUAAAACACCCAUACCAUAUACAACUUACCAUUAUUCUACUGCCCUGUUCCUCAAUUGCUUCAUGAAUAAUAGUGCUUAAAUGGCCAAGACAGUUCAAAUUUUCUUCUAUCAUUUGUGCUAUAGUCUCCCUGUAUGAUGAAAAAACAAAACCUUUUCAAAUGCAGCAAAGGGACAAAUGAAUUUACUCUUAUCUUCUGGUCUUCAGGGUCAGAAUGAUCACUGCCCUUCCCACAGCGCUGCAAGCCAGCACCCCCGUGCAGCUGAUUCCUAGGGUCUUCAAGUUUCCUCUUCCCUCCCACCCAGAGGCAGAGUCCUACUUGUUACGUCAAACUAUUGCCUCUACCCAGCUCAAAUGAUAAGAAGUCCACUGGAAGUACAAACUCACUUUCCUCUGAAAUGUAAGUGGCAUGUACAUACAUUUCCCCCUCUGAAAAUGCUUGCUGGGAGGUGGGGGAAAUAACUGUAGCACAGAGACAUGAAAGAUCUCUUUGUUUCUGGACUAUUUCUCUUUCCUUCUAAGUUGUAACAACAUCAGUAUGUUUACUUCAGAGACAGAAAUGCAGGGGUGAAGAUAAAAAAGUACAAUCUGGUCUGCAAAGAUGAGGGAAGGUAAAAACUCUGGUUGGAAACUAUAGAUGAUAGCCAUGAAAAAGAAAACAAGCAAGCUGAUUCCUAAGGACAGCAGAAGAAAAUAGCAUCACAGGGGAGCUGCCCAGAACCAACAAGUAUCCCUGGAAGUUUAUAUUUGAAGGAAAUCCUGAUUCUGGUUUCCACCUUCCCCACUUCCCUCUGCCUUAUGCCUCUAUCCUUUACCUUUUUCCAAUCCUCUGUUUCUACCUCACUAGGCCAUGGAUGGUAGCCACUAUAAGCUCAGAACUAAAUUCUAAUUUAGCUCACAUUCAAAAGAUGGAAAAAUUGAGGUCAACAGAUUCUAAUCCUUGGUGGUUAAGUACAUUAUCAUCGAAAUCAAUUUUUUACUUCAUAAUGUAUUCCUACUGGAAAACAUAUUUAAAAUUUCUAUAUGACAUGCUUUUGCUAACAACCACAACCUCAAAUUAGAAAUUACCUGUAUAGAGAUGACAUUUGCAACCAUUAGCAUCCCCUAACAAACCUAAAUGCCUUUAAUAAAAGCAAAAAGGUCAGUAAUGUAUUGAAUUGUAUUUGUUUCAACUCCAAUUAGUGGAAUAUUUCCUAAAGCCAAUUGAAUUACAGCCUGUGCUGUAUCUGUGGCUGUAUUACAUUGGGCCAAAUCUCAAAUGAUCCCAAGAUAUACCUUACAACUUGCUUUCUUUAAAAAUAAAUAAAUAAAUAAAUAAA